UUAACCCAUUUAACAAUUUCACCCAUUAAAUUAAAUGAGUUAUGGGUUGAUCCAACCCAUUUAACAAAAUGAGUUGGGUCAACCCAUAACUCAUUUAACCCUAAACUCAUUUGAUUAUGAGU
rnacentral:pre_miRNA from 1 species